UACGGAGGGUGCAAGCGUUGUUCGGAAUCACUGGGCGUAAAGGGCGCGCAGGCGGUUUGGUAAGUCAGAUGUGAAAGCCCACGGCUUAACCGUGGAAGUGCAUUUGAUACUGCCAGACUUGAGUACCAGAGGGGAAAGUGGAAUUCCCGGUGUAGAGGUGAAAUUCGUAGAUAUCGGGAGGAAUACCGGUGGCGAAGGCGACUUUCUGGCUGAGUACUGACGCUGAGGCGCGAAAGCGUGGGGAGCAAACAGG
rnacentral:rRNA from 1 species